GAGCGGCGAACGGGUGAGUAACACGUGAGCAACCUGCCCUAGGCUUUGGGAUAACCCCGGGAAACCGGGGCUAAUACCGAAUAGGACCUCCUUCCGCAUGGUUGGUGGUGGAAAGUUUUUCGGCCUGGGAUGGGCUCGCGGCCUAUCAGCUUGUUGGUGGGGUGAUGGCCUACCAAGGCGACGACGGGUAGCCGGCCUGAGAGGGCGACCGGCCACACUGGGACUGAGACACGGCCCAGACUCCUACGGGAGGCAGCAGUGGGGAAUAUUGCACAAUGGGCGGAAGCCUGAUGCAGCGACGCCGCGUGAGGGAUGACGGCCUUCGGGUUGUAAACCUCUUUCAGCAGGGACGAAGCGCAAGUGACGGUACCUGCAGAAGAAGCGCCGGCCAACUACGUGCCAGCAGCCGCGGUAAGACGUAGGGCGCGAGCGUUGUCCGGAUUUAUUGGGCGUAAAGAGCUCGUAGGCGGCUUGUCGCGUCGACUGUGAAAACCCGCAGCUCAACUGCGGGCCUGCAGUCGAUACGGGCAGGCUAGAGUUCGGUAGGGGAGACUGGAAUUCCU
rnacentral:rRNA from 1 species